rnacentral:rRNA from 1 species
GACGAGGGGUCCUAGCGUUGCUCGGAAUCAUUGGGCGUAAAGCGGGUGUAGGCGGCUUCGUAAGUCAGUUGUGAAAGCCCCAAGUUCAACUUGGGAAGUGCUUCUGAUACUGUGAGGCUGGAGUAUUGGAGAGGGUAGUAGAAUUCCUGGUGUAGUGGUGAAAUACGUAGAUAUCAGGAGGAAUACCGGUGGCGAAGGCGGCUACCUGGCCAAAUACUGACGCUGAGACCCGAAAGCGUGGGGAUCAAACAGG